rnacentral:rRNA from 1 species
AGAGUUCGAUUAUGGCUCAGGACGAACGCUGGCGGCACGCUUAACACAUGCAAGUCGAACGAGAGAAGAGAAGCUUGCUUUUCUGAUCUAGUGGCGGACGGGUGAGUAACACGUGAGCAAUCUGCCUUUCAGAGGGGGAUACCGAUUGGAAACGAUCGUUAAUACCGCAUAAUAUAAUUGAACCGCAUGAUUUGAUUAUCAAAGAUUUAUCGCUGAAAGAUGAGCUCGCGUCUGAUUAGCUAGUUGGUAAGGUAACGGCUUACCAAGGCGACGAUCAGUAGCCGGACUGAGAGGUUGAUCGGCCACAUUGGGACUGAGACACGGCCCAG